AUGUUUUUACUAGCCCCAACCAGCCACGUGCCCCCUACCUUAUCUUCAAAAAGCUCUGUUGUCUUCUCCCAGCUAUUUUCCUCUCUUUCUCCGAGCUCUCAACCUUGCAGGAUGCAUGUUUCAUCUGUAGCCGCCCCAAGUCCUCAAGUCGCGUCCGCCGUCCCGGGAGAGCACUGGUAUCUACGUCCACCGUCACCCCGCGCUCCCGAGGAAGCACCGGCGUGGACAACCAUGCAUGUUUUGUUAUGCCUAGGUGUGGAACAUGCAGCUGGCAAUGCCAACAAUGAACAAGAUGGGAGCACUGACAGUGCCCCUAGUCCCUUGCUCUUGGGGGCAAAGCCAAAGAAAAGACUCACUUCCAAGUGCAGCCCUGCGAUUCAGACUCAGAAGAGGCAAAAGAAUCAGGAGGCUAUUCAGAAUGGGUCUCAUGAGGAACCUGCAGCGCCCGAGAAGAAGAAUCUAGCUUCGCCAGUUCUUUCAACCGAUCAGAAUAAGAAGAAUCAAGGGACCGAUCAGAACAUUUCUCGUGAAGAACUCGUCAUGACAUUUGCCAUGCACGGACACGCAACAAGGAUGGUGGAACAAGGUGACUUUUGGAAGCUUGUUGGUGACCUGAAUCCUGCGGUCAAGAUUCCAUCCCGCUUCGACCUGAAGAAUGAGACCUUUAACUUGUUUGAUCAAGAAAAGGCCAAGCUGAGGGAGAAGUUAACAGCCUUACCAUGCCGUGUUUGCCUGAGUGCAUAUGUGUGGCACUACAGUCCACUGCAGGCAUUCUUGUGCUUGACUGUUCACUAUAUCGAUGACGAAUGGGAGAAGCAGAAAAAGAUCAUCAAAUUUAGCCCCGUGGAUCCCUCUUGCAGUGCAGAAGAACUAAGUCGUACCAUAUUGCGAGCUAUUGGAGAAUGGGGUCUUGAUGACAAGGUCUUCAGCAUCAUACUGGAUGACGCAUUCACUGAUGAUUCAGUGGCUUCAAAUGUCAAAACCGGUCUUCAGAAAAGGAACAAAGUUGCUGCAAACCGGAGCUUGUUUGUGGCACGUUACGCAACUCAUUUACUUGAUGAGGUUAUUCAGGUGGGGCUCGACGAACUUGACACUAUCAUGGAGGAUACCAGGAAGUGUUCCAGGAUGCAUCCGACCCCUUCACUAGCACAUUAUCGCAAGCGAAGAUACGCAUCAGCGGAUGAUUGGAAAAAAGCACAGAAAGUUUGCAAAUACUUGCAAGACUUCAAUAGAUACAAGGACUUGGUCCACAAAUCGCCUAGCCCAGAUAAAGUGUUUGACAAGGUGUGGAAUGUGAAGGAAAAGGUGCUUCGCAACACUGACAUUGAUAGGUUCAAGACACGCGCCGAAGUCUUUUUACGUGACAAGGAGGAGGAGGGAAUUUCCGUUAUGCGGCGGAAUAUGGAGAAGAAGUUCAAGAAAUGCUGGAAACUCUGCUUCUUGCAUUUUUGCAUGCCUAUGGUCAUGGAUCCUAAAUACCGUCUGGAACACAUCAAGUCACGCAUACAGCCCUUCACCGUGCCAAGUUCCUAUACCGUGGAUGGUGACAUAGAUGAUUUUAUUUGCGAGGUGCAUGAUGCACUGCUUAACCUCCAUGGUGAAUAUUCAGACCAGGCCCAAGAACCUGACUGCACUUCUUGGUCUAAAAUUAGGAUGGGAGAGUUCAUAGGUAGAGAUAUUCUGCAUGAGUUAUAUCUAUGUACCGAAUAUCCGUAUCGUCAGCGACCACUCACUGAACUUGAUGAUUACUUGCAAGAGGCGCAACUGCUUCCAGCAGGUCACUCCAGUGUGCUCCGAUGGUGGAAGGAACAUAGCCUCACCUAUCCUUCAAUUGGUCGGAUGUAUUGGCACUACCACGCCGUACUGACUGCAAGGUAG
rnacentral:rRNA from 1 species